UGAGUAACCUGCCCUUAACUCUGGGAUAAGCCUGGGAAACUGGGUCUAAUACCGGAUAUGACUCCUCAUCGCAUGGUGGGGGGUGGAAAGCUUUUUGUGGUUUUGGAUGGACUCGCGGCCUAUCAGCUAGUUGGUGUGGGUAACGGCCCACCAAGGCGACGACGGGUAGCCGGCCUGAGAGGGUGACCGGCCACACUGGGACUGAGACACGGCCCAGACUCCUACGGGAGGCAG
rnacentral:rRNA from 1 species